UACGGGGGGGGCAAGCGUUGUUCGGAAUUACUGGGCGUAAAGGGUUUGUAGGUGGCCGGCUAAGUCCGACGUGAAAUCCCUCAGCUUAACUGGGGAACUGCGUCGGAGACUGGUCGGCUUGAGGGUCGGAGAGGAACGCGGAAUUCCAGGUGUAGCGGUGAAAUGCGUAGAUAUCUGGAGGAACACCGGUGGCGAAGGCGGCGUUCUGGACGGCUACUGAACACUGAAAAACGAAAGCCAGGGGAGCAAACGGG
rnacentral:rRNA from 1 species